UGACGAACGCUGGCGGCGUGCUUAACACAUGCAAGUCGAACGGAAAGGCCCUGCUUUUGUGGGGUGCUCGAGUGGCGAACGGGUGAGUAACACGUGAGUAACCUGCCCUUGACUUUGGGAUAACUUCAGGAAACUGGGGCUAAUACCGGAUAGGAGCUCCUGCUGCAUGGUGGGGGUUGGAAAGUUUCGGCGGUUGGGGAUGGACUCGCGGCUUAUCAGCUUGUUGGUGGGGUAGUGGCUUACCAAGGCUUUGACGGGUAGCCGGCCUGAGAGGGUGACCGGCCACAUUGGGACUGAGAUACGGCCCAGACUCCUACGGGAGGCAGCAGUGGGGAAUAUUGCACAAUGGGCGGAAGCCUGAUGCAGCAACGCCGCGUGCGGGAUGACGGCCUUCGGGUUGUAAACCGCUUUCGCCUGUGACGAAGCGUGAGUGACGGUAAUGGGUAAAGAAGCACCGGCUAACUACGUGCCAGCAGCCGCGGUGAUACGUAGGGUGCGAGCGUUGUCCGGAUUUAUUGGGCGUAAAGGGCUCGUAGGUGGUUGAUCGCGUCGGAAGUGUAAUCUUGGGGCUUAACCCUGAGCGUGCUUUCGAUACGGGUUGACUUGAGGAAGGUAGGGGAGAAUGGAAUUCCUGGUGGAGCGGUGGAAUGCGCAGAUAUCAGGAGGAACACCAGUGGCGAAGGCGGUUCUCUGGGCCUUUCCUGACGCUGAGGAGCGAAAGCGUGGGGAGCGAACAGGCUUACAUACCCUGGUAGUCCACGCUGUAAACGGUGGGUACUAGGUGUGGGGUCCAUUCCACGGGUUCCGUGCCGUAGCUAACGCUUUAAGUACCCCGCCUGGGGAGUACGGCCGCAAGGCUAAAACUCAAAGGAAUUGACGGGGCCCCGCACAAGCGGCGGAGCAUGCGGAUUAAUUCGAUGCAACGCGUAGAACCUUACCUGGGUUUGACAUGGAUCGGGAGUGCUCAGAGAUGGGUGUGCCUCUUUUGGGGUCGGUUCACAGGUGGUGCAUGGCUGUCGUCAGCUCGUGUCGUGAGAUGUUGGGUUAAGUCCCGCAACGAGCGCAACCCUUGUUCACUGUUGCCAGCACGUUAUGGUGGGGACUCAGUGGAGACCGCCGGGGUCAACUCGGAGGAAGGUGGGGAUGACGUCAAGUCAUCAUGCCCCUUAUGUCCAGGGCUUCACGCAUGCUACAAUGGCUGGUACAGAGAGUGGCGAGCCUGUGAGGGUGAGCGAAUCUCGGAAAGCCGGUCUCAGUUCGGAUUGGGGUCUGCAACUCGACCUCAUGAAGUCGGAGUCGCUAGUAAUCGCAGAUCAGCAACGCUGCGGUGAAUACGUUCCCGGGGCUUGUACACACCGCCCGUCAAGUCAUGAAAGUUGGUAACACCCGAAGCCGGUGGCCUAACCGUUGUGGGGGAGCCGUCGAAGGUGGG
rnacentral:rRNA from 1 species